AUGACAAUUAUCAAAGUCCCUCCACCUCCCCCCACUUCUCCGCCCCUAGGAACUGUCCUCUUGGCCUAUGUCUGCCACCUGCAGCUUUGGUCUCUGCCGAACAAAUUGGACAGAUCAGGUAAAUCUGGAUUAGGAGAGAAGAGCCCCACACAGCUCAGCGUGAGGCGGUGGUGGCUGGGUACCUGCAGCCGUCUUCUGGCUGGCACAGAUGCUUCUGACAUCUGGGAGGAUACAGCGUUGAUUAAAGCUUGUGAUAAAUCUAUGGCUUCUGUUCUAAAGAAUGGCAACAUUUGUGAAACUUCAGAUAAACCAAAAGGCAUACCUAAAAGAAAACCUGCUAAGAAUAAAAGCCAAUAAAUAAAUAAAUAAAAGAACACCACAACUCCCUUGAAACAGUGGUAAGUUGGUGACAAGUGCUCUGCCAUUUGGUCAGAAGAAGGCUGCACGUCCCCAGCUAUCGCUGCUUUUAGUUGGGUUGCGGUUUACACUGGGAUAUGGAAAUGAGAGUGGAGUGAGAUCCGCUUGAUCUACUUCUCCAACGUCUGAAGUACCUAGUAAUAUAGAACAGAAUGCUCAAGAGAAUGAACACGAAAGUCAAGUUUUAACGGAUGAAAAUGAGAAUGCCAGGUCUUCUGGAAAUAAAUCAAAUAACAUCAAAUCAAAAGCUACUCCGUGGGACUCUUUUCUCUCUCUGCUGUGCCCUAUGCCAGGGUCAGGACUGUGACCAGGAGAGCCAAGUCUGAAAUUCAGCGGCUCCUGCCCAGCCCCACCCCACCAGUGAUCCCUCCCCACUUCUUGAUGACCCUGAUGCUUUGGGACAUAUGUUACUCUCUGAGUACAUGAGUGGCUAUCAUACUGGCUAUUAUAUGGGUUUCAAGCAAAAUAAAAAAGAAGGAAGGUGCUCACAUUUCAAUUAAGG